AUGGUGAUAACUACACGGUUUGGUAGGAAGGAGAGUCGAAUGAGUUGCUUCUCACGAAGUUCAAAACUGCAUCUUGUAAGCCACAAGUCUUCUAUUAAUACUGAGGCGGUGGCGACCAGGGUGGCGUCUCUGAGGACUCAAUAUGCCAGACUGAGGAAGUCCAAAUCAAACCGGAGCGAGAAGAAGCCCCUCACGAUGAGGCAGCGCUGGCUCCUGAGGGCCCUCGACUUCCUGAAGCCACACAUCGUUCAUCGGCGAAGCGAGAACACUCUGGGUUUGCCGUCCUCUGAUAAAGUGGAGGACACUGCAGACGAGUCGGAUGAAAUGAUGCAGGAGACGGACAAAGAAGUGGACAGCUUCGACUCCAUCAGCGUGUGUCUUUCCCCGAUGCCUAGCACUCCAGACACCGGCAUCCCCGAGGAAACCGCCUCGUACUCGCUGUCCCCCGGAGCACAUCCGGCAAGCGCACACGCUCCUCCGAAUCCGACAUCGAGCUGCAGAAGCUGGAGGUGUUGAAGCAGAUGUCCGCUAAAGUCCUGGAGCACCCGUCUCCGGACGCCGCCGCGGUCUUCUCCAGCCAGGUGGCCCUGGAGUACCGUCUGCUGAGAGACCCCAGCGUCCAGAUGCGCGUCCGCAGGCAGAUCAUGGCUCUUCUUUACGAAGCGCAGGAUUCAGAGAGACGUUCCCGACAGUCCAAGAGACACGAACAGAGAGAACUCAAAACUGAGGAGGACAUUACUUGGAUUAACACUAAUAUAUAAGUUGGAAAAAUGUUGUUGUUGUUGUUGAUCUUGUUUUCUACAUUGUACUGAACUAUUUUUCCUAGUGGACGCUUUGAGAUAAUCUACAUGUAAGAUAAUAAAACUCUCCAACUCUUCAUGUGCGUGUUGUUUAUUUUUUUAUGUAGCUUUGAGAUUAUGAAUAAUCAAAACAAACCACUACUGAGACAUUAAAUGCCAUCCAGU
rnacentral:lncRNA from 1 species